rnacentral:rRNA from 1 species
ACGACGCUGGCGGCGUGCUUAACACAUGCAAGUCGAACGGUGACCCAGGGCUUGCCCUGGUGAUCAGUGGCGAACGGGUGAGUAACACGUGGGCAACCUGCCCCUGACUUCGGGAUAACUCCUCGAAAGAGGAGCUAAUACCGGAUACGACCACUUCGGACAUCCGAUGGUGGUGGAAAGUUUUUCGGUCAGGGAUGGGCCCGCGGCCUAUCAGCUAGUUGGUGGGGUAAUGGCCUACCAAGGCGACGACGGGUAGCCGGCCUGAGAGGGCGACCGGCCACACUGGGACUGAGACACGGCCCAGACUCCUACGGGAGGCAGCAGUGGGGAAUAUUGCGCAAUGGGCGAAAGCCUGACGCAGCGACGCCGCGUGAGGGAUGAAGGCCUUCGGGUUGUAAACCUCUUUCAGCAGGGACGAAGCGAAAGUGACGGUACCUGCAGAAGAAGCACCAGCUAACUACGUG